rnacentral:tRNA from 1 species
GCCCGGUUAGCUCAGUCGGUAGAGCGCAAGGCUCUUAACCUUGUGGUCGUGGGUUCGAGCCUACAUUGGGCG